GUCUCUGUGGUGUAGUGGUUAUCACGCGUCCUUUACAUGCAUUUCGUUACCGACGGAUGCAGAACGGACUAGGUCUUCGGUUCGAUCCCGAACAGGGACA